rnacentral:rRNA from 1 species
UGGGGAAUUUUGGACAAUGGGCGCAAGCCUGAUCCAGCCAUGCCGCGUGCGGGAAGAAGGCCUUCGGGUUGUAAACCGCUUUUGUCAGGGAAGAAAUCUUCUGAGUUAAUACCUCGGGAGGAUGACGGUACCUGAAGAAUAAGCACCGGCUAACUACGUGCCAGCAGCCGCGGUAAUACGUAGGGUGCAAGCGUUAAUCGGAAUUACUGGGCGUAAAGCGUGCGCAGGCGGUUUUGUAAGACAGAGGUGAAAUCCCCGGGCUCAACCUGGGAACUGCCUUUGUGACUGCAAGGCUUGAGUGCGGCAGAGGGGGGAUGGAAUUCCGCGUGUAGCAGUGAAAUGCGUAGAUAUGCGGAGGAACACCGAUGGCGAAGGCAAUCCCCUGGGCCUGCACUGACGCUCAUGCACGAAAGCGUGGGGAGCAAACAGGAUUAGAUAGCCCUGGUAGUCCACGCCCUAAACGAUGUCAACUGGUUGUUGGGAAGGUUCCUUCUCAGUAACGUAGCUAACGCGUGAAGUUGACCGCCUGGGGAGUACGGCCGCAAGGUUGAAACUCAAAGGAAUUGACGGGGUCAUAGCUGUUUCCUG